GUGAUGGGCUCUCUCUCCCUCUCGCUCGCUGCCCCCGAGGGAAGGUCCCGGCAUUCAAAUGGUCUCUCCCCCUCUCCCUCGAUGCUGUCAGGGGAUGGUACCAGAAAUCUGAGUCUGCAGUUUGUGGAUUGGACUGUAGUUCCUGUUCGCUCCUUUUUCUGUUGAUAGUUUAUUGUUUUGGGCAACUUUGGAUCGGGGCGGCCUGCAGAAAACAAAUGGACAUCGCCGUUGACGGUCGGGCUGGGACUCUGCAGAAAAUUGAAAGUGGAUCCUGAAAAGAUUUGGAGACUGGAACUACGCAGAGGUCUGAAAAGAGGAGAAGAGAAGCUGAGGCUUGCUGCUGAAGAAAAGCGCAGUCAUCGGAAAAACGGCACCAAGACAACACUGGAGGACAGCGCCUUCAGGUGCAGUUGCUGCAGCGAGACUGUCACUCCCGUGUGGGACUCUACAGCCACAACAGCCGCUGCUCUAACACAGACUGAAGCAAGACCUUCCAGGCGCAGAUCUAUGGUCUCGCGAGACAUAACGGAUGCCACCACCAGACUUAAUUCUUGCAUUCCUAAGUCAAUGUGCGUUAUGUGCACUACUGUGCUUUGCACCCUGGUCAGGAGAAACACUUUUGGUGGUAUACAUGUAGUGUAUAUAGUUACAUGACAAUAAACUUGACUAGAGUUAGUAUGGAGGCACCAAUGCCCGUGAAUAGGAAAGCCUAUCAAAUGUAGUGGACACAGCCCAGUCCAUCACAGGUUUCCAGCCUCUGCAGAUUUCCUCUUGUUUGUGACAGGAAAAGCUCUUCCCAUCACUGAGCACAUCUACAAAGAACAUUACCACAAGAAAACAGCAUCCAUCAUCCAGGCCAUGCUCUCUUCUCGCUGCUGCCAUUGGGAAGGAGAUACAGGAACAGUUAUACCCUCCAACCUUCCGGCUCCUGAACCAGCGUGGAUAACUUCACUCACCACAACACUCAACUGAUUCCACAAGCGAUGGGGUCACUUUCAAGGAUUCUACAGCUUGUUUUCUCUGCAUUAUUUAUUUAUUUUUGUUUGCACUGUUUUGUCUUCUUUUGCACAUCGGUUGUUUGUAAGUCUUUGUGUGUAGUGUUUUGUCGAUUCUAUUGUACUUCUCCUUCAACUGUGAGUGCCUGUUAAGAAAAUGAAUCUCAAGGUAGUGCAUGGUACUUUGAUAAUAAAUUUACUUUGAACUUUGAAAUGGGAAUCCUCAGACCUGUACAGUAUUGACAUAGAAUUUUUAAUGUCUUUUGGGACAGCCAGCUGGUGUUUCAAAGUAUUGACCCAGACUUUGCAGUCAGCAGGAAAGGAACAAUGCUUUUCAUGCCUUUGGUAAUUAGAUAUCCAUUUAAUCUUUUAGACAGUCUGGGGCUUGAGCAGGCAAAAUAGGAGUUGGCCUAUUCAAGCAAUCAUUGAGCAUAAAUACCUGGAAGCAAGUUGAAGAUUCAAUGGAAAAUUGUGUGUGCAAGUCAAAAGAGCAGGGAAUAACAUUGUAAGUGUGUGAUAAAAAAAUGAAAAGAUUGCUUAACAGAAAAUAUAAACAAAACUAUGGAGAAAAUCAAAGUUACUAAAAGUUGUUAAAAAAAUCUAAGCUUUGAUAGUCUUUAUUUGAAUGUUCAUAAUACUUGCAAUACUGUGACGUGCUGUCAGCAUAGAUGCAAAUUGUUGAGGGUGAUCUAAUAAUAAUUAUACCAAUAUGGUUGCAGAGUGACAAGGAUUGGAUGCUUAGUCUUCUAGGUUUCUUGAUAUUCCGAGAACAUGCCAAUAGAGAGGUCGGGAAUGGGAUGAGUGAGCGGUAACCUUAUAUUAGUCAAGGAAGCUAUUAUAAAAACGUUGAGUGCUGAUUACAGGGGCAGUGGAUAGGAACGCAGAAUCAGUCUAGGUUGACACCACACACGACUGGGGAGAGAUGACAUGGGUUAGAGUAUAUGCCCCCAAAAUGUGACCUUGAAAGGGGUAAUAUCUAAGGUGUGUUUCAAGGGAAUUGAAAUUGUCUCAGGAGUCUUUAAUCUGAAAAGCAUAUUGAUUGUCGAACCAAACUGGUAGGUGUAGAAAGGAGUUAAGUGUUGGACCUCUGAAACCAGUGGGUUAAUAAAAGAAAACAAAACAACGCUGGAAUAACAGACGGGCUAAUUUCAAAUAACAGGGAGGAAAUUGUAGAAAUUCCAAACACGAGGGACAAAGUAUUAGAAAGACUCUCAGGGGCAAGAGCGUUUCAACACUGGACAAAUCGCUGGACCCAAUGGCCCGCACCCAAGGUUUUUUUCCCAAAAGGAAGUGGCUGCAGAGAUAUCACAUCAAUUGGUUGAAGAUUUUUUUUUAAAAAACUUGUU